rnacentral:rRNA from 1 species
GCCCCCCUCAAGAUGAGAUCUCCUAGCAGAAAUGUGAGAGACCCCUUAGAGACGAUGAGGUAGAUAGGGCAGGGGUGGAAGUGCAGCGAUGCAUGGAGCUGACUGCUACUAAUCGGUCGAAAGCUUGACCUG